rnacentral:lncRNA from 1 species
GUGGUUUGGCUUAGAAGAGAACUCUAGGGUUUGAAAAUGGGAGGGAGAGAGAGGUUAAAGGGGUUCUGAUCACUGUUUGCAGAUUUGAAUCUGUCUUUAUGGCAGUUCCUUCUGACUCUGCAUAUACUAUGAUGUGUCACUCAGUCAUUGGUUACACGAUGCCCAGUAACGAGCUGUAACUCCCCAGUAACUUGUCAGUUAGUUGUCUCUUUUAGAAGAGUGGACGUUUGAUUAAUAUGGAUUGACCUUUGACCUCUUGAGUUCGUAGAGUAGCAUGAUAGGACAUCUAUUGAAUCUACAUUUUCCUUUGUUGACUCAACAAUCAAUUCUCU